rnacentral:rRNA from 1 species
CUACGGGAUGCACCAGUGGGGAAUAUUACACAAUGGAGGAAACUCUGAUGCAGCAACGCCGCGUGGAGGAUGACACUUUUCGGAGCGUAAACUCCUUUUAUAUAGGAAGAAGAUGACGGUACUAUAUGAAUAAGCGCCGGCUAACUCCGUGCCAGCAGCCGCGGUAAUACGGAGGGCGCAAGCGUUACUCGGAAUCACUGGGCGUAAAGAGCGUGUAGGCGGAUUAAAAAGUCAGAAGUGAAAUCCUAUAGCUUAACUAUAGAACUGCUUCUGAAACUCUUAAUCUAGAAUAUGGGAGAGGUAGAUGGAAUUUCUUGUGUAGGGGUAAAAUCCGUAGAGAUCAGAAGGAAUACCGAUUGAGAAGGCGAUCUACUAGAACAUUAUUGACGCUGAGACGCGAAAGCGUGGGGAGCAAACAGGAUUAGAUACCCUUGUAGUC